GUUCCUUUUUCAAAGCUGUACUGUUGUCGGUAAAUUCUUUUUACCAACCCCCCAGUCGACCACUUCCCGGUGCCGGGGCUCUGACACCGCGCGCAGAGACAGAGGCAGGCGGCCCCCUCUCUGCUGCCCCUUCUCCCUGCUGGUCUCAUGAAUGCUCUCACCUGAGCUUCUCCUUUUCCUUUUCUACUUUCUCCUUUACCAAGGGCGCAGCUGCUCUUCGGAGAGGCAGUUGGGUCCACAGAAUCAGCUGCCUCUUGGAGAGCGGUGUGAGGUUAUGAGGGAGCUGAGGGGAAGUAAAGAGAGGGUCCAGUGUGCCUCACCUUGGUCCCACACACCGAAGGAAAGGGUUUCAGAGAGGACUGGUGGAUGCUGACACACCGUCCAUUUUGAGAAGACUCCUUGUAUGGGUGGCAGUGUGCUUCCCCAAAACUCAUGUUGAAGCCCUAACCCAUAACACCUUAGAAUGUGACUGUAUUUAGAGACUGGAUUUCUAAAGAGGCGAUUAAUUUUAAAGAGACCAUUAGGGUGAGCCCUAAUCCAAUCUGCCUGCUGUUCUUAUAAGAAGAGGAAAUUGAACCUGCAAGGAGCUAUUAGGGCCUCUUGCAGAGAGGGAUGACCGCAUGCAGAGGCCACAAGAGGGCGCCCUCUGCAAGCCAAGGAGAAACCUCAGAAGACACCAACCCUGAAGAGGAAAUUGAUGUUGGACUUCUGGCCUCCGGAAGAACACAGAGUCUUGCUGUGUUGCACAAGCUGACCUCCAACUUCUAGGCUCAAGUGAUCCUUCCACCUCGACCUCCCGCAGUGUUGGAAUAACAGGUCUCAGCAACUCCUUUGUUGCCAACUUUUACCGGACCCAUGGGUCUGAAAGAGAAGCACAGUCCAUAGUGUUCCAGCUUUGAGUGUGGCUCUCUCAGAAGAAGGUGUGACAGCUGCCUCCUUGCUAAGAGAAAGACGUUUCAGUGUCUGCCUCCUGGGAAUGGAGUCUCCUGGUGACUCUGAGGAUGGCGCAGGACUCUCCCAGCUAACACUACACAGAGGCUCCCCCUCUUCAUGCCACCCCUUUGCCAGCUGCAGCCUGUGUGGACCCAGACACUUCUGACCCAGGCUCCAGUGCCCGCAUGUCUGAUAGCCUGUAUUUCAAACUCUGGGCUCUCCUGGACAUUCCCUCUCCAGCUGUAUAUGAUGUUAUUUUUCAGACCCAUUUACUGUUGUCCAGUGGCCUGCCAAGACCUUUAGGUGAAGACGCUGACUCCCUCGCCGGCUCUUCUUCAUUCUUUUCAAACACACGUCAGAGUGGAACGCACAUCCUUUUUGCUUCACCUUCCAGGUUUGCUAUCCCUUUAAUGCAGAAAGACUGUCUUUUGUGUGUGUACUCCACAGAAAAGGAUCAGUGUUUACCCCUUGUGCUGAUUUUGCAUCAAGGAUAGCAUUCCAUGAAGGUGGCUGGGACUGCCUUGCAUUUCAAAACCAUUUUAAAAGCAGAAGCUAACUCCGCAGCCUAUGCUGCCCCAGUUGGCUUUCCUACUUUUCCACCACAGUGAGCUAAGGAGAGCCCAUGGUACCACCAUGGUCUCCAUAAGGAAGGGAGAAGACCAGCACAGGGAGUAAGGCUGCAGGGUCCUUGGUGUCUGUGCUCCCAGUCCCUCUAGCCACCUUCCAGUUGGCUCCCUAAAGACAACGUUUCACCAUGUUGCCCAGGCUGGUCUCAAACUCCUGGGCUCAAGCAAUCCACCCACCUCGGCCUCCCAAAGUGCUGGGAUUACAGGUGUGAGCCACUGUGCCUGGACAACAAAUACUCUUUUGAGGGAGGCAGUCAAGCUGGGCAGUUUCUACAAGUUUGGUUUUUUUGUUUGUUUGUUUUUGGCACAGAAAUCAAUCAUUUCUCAUCUUAGCUUCAAGUAAUUACAUGAGAGCUGUUCAAACUUGAGCAUGCAUCAGAAUCACCAGAGGGCUGGAUAAAACUGAGAUUGCUGAGCUCCACUCCCCAAGUUUCUAUUCAGUAAGUCUGGUGUAAGGCCUAAGAAUAUGCAUUUCUACAGUGUUCUCAGGUGAUACUGAUGCUGCAGGUUUGGGGACCAUAUUUUGAGGACCAAUACAUUCUAUUUUAAUUCCACCAUUAAUAGUUAACUUUUAUUUUUUAGAGACAGGGCCUCAGUCUGCUGCCCAGGCUGGAGUGCAGUGGUGCAAUCAUUGUAACCUUGAACUCCUGGGCUCCAACGGACCUCAUGCCUCAGCCUCCUGAGUAGCUGGGACUGUAGACCCAGGCCACCACCACACCUGGCUAAUUUUUUUUUUUCUUUCGUAGACACAGGGUCUUGCUGUGUUGCCCAGGCUGGCCUCCAACUUCUAGGCUCAAGUGAUCCUUCCACCUUGACCUCCCACAGUGUUGGAAUAACAGGUGUGAGCCUGCACCCCAGCCUAAUUCCAUCAUUAAUUUGUAAGUGGUUUCCGCUAUGUUUAAAACUUAGCAGAAGCCGCAACUUUCCCUCAGCAAACCAGGGAACAGGUGGUAACCAAGUUCUCAAGACACCUUCUUAAUUAACUACUUAACCAGCGCUAGCUGCAUGCAACUGAACACUGAAGAAGACAACUUUCAGGUACCAGGAGUUAGGAGCCAAGGCCCCGGGCAGGUGCCGUUUCUUCCAUGCAGCCUUCCCUGAUUCCCUGUUUGGUGGUGGUUUUCCUUUCUCUCUGCCUUCAGAAUGCAUUGCCUGCUUCUCCAUUACAGCAUUCACUGUGUGUCAUCCUGAAUUGUGGGUAUGAGUUGUAAGUCUUACAUGUUCUUGUAAACUUCUUAACAGUGAGGACUGGGUCACCCAGGAAAGUGGUUUGCAACAUGGUAAGUUCCUGAGGUUUGCUGGAUUGAAAUGAAUUUUAAGUUUUAAAUGUUAAGUUCUUAUCUUACUAUUUCAAACUCUCAUCACGGCCAAUUCCAGGUGAUGCUCUUUCCUGGGUUCCAAACGACACAGGGGCUUACUGGGGUGAAGGAGAGCUCCCCAGCACCGGGGCCUGGGAGCAGCUUGUGGCUGGGGUGGGGUAGGAUGGGGUGGGGGUGGCUGGCCUGGCCUCACCUUAGGGCUCUCCACUCUGCAGAUGCUCACCCCAGCAAGGGAGUCCAGUGCCAUCUUUCUCUGGGAUCUGGACCCGCUCAGGGGCUUUCUCUUUCCCUGCCCUUAUUUAGAGCAAAUCUCUGUCCUUGCCCUUUCCAGCUUCUGCCACGUGCUGCAGGAGGCUUCAGAAAGCACAGGUCUGUUUUUAGAUUUUGCCUCACGUGUGUGCAGCGAACUUAAUGAGCUCUCUAUAGGGGUAGCUUUCUUGAGAGACCGUUGCUAAGGGCCAGUCACACGUUUCUCACCGUGUUGUGAUGGAAACGUGAUUAGAUGCUGAUCUGUGCUCAGCAGAACCUGCUGGAGUGUCUGGUUGGAGUGGCCUCUUCUACAGGGGCCUGAGGGAUUUCACAGGCCCACAGACCCAGCCUUGUGAUUUCAGCAAAUGGACAAGGGGUGGUAAAAUGUAACGGGGUGGAGGGUUUUGGAAGACCUCAGAUCCCUGUGAUUGACGGCACUGAUCCACUUCAGCAGCUUUGCCUGAGCACUGUCUGUGGUGGGUACCAAAGACACUGGAGCUCUGUGGCCUCUGCCCUUUAGGAGCCUAUAAGCAGCUGGGGCAGUGACAGUAGACAGAAAGGGUUAAUCAGCAAUCUGUGGCUUCCUGGGCCUAAGGGCAGCCGGUCAGGGGAUCCCGGCAUAGGGAGAAUCUGGGGAGUAGUUCAGUGGGCUGGAGUGGUUAGAAAAGUUAGCACUUUAACCGGGUCCUGAAGCACCAGCCUGGAGGAUUGGGAGUGGUGGGGAGGAAAGGUAAGGGGCCCGCAGCAGGGAAGGAAGGAUCAGUAUGCAGCAGGGCUGGAGGCAGAAGUGAACUCAUCUGGCAAGAUAACAGUGAUGGCCACCAUUCGUUGACCACCCUUUUUGGGCCAGGCUCCCUUCUAGGUGUUUCCUCUUUCUGUCCUCACAACCACCCUGAAAAGUUGGUGCUAUGAUCCCAAGUUACAGAAGAGAACUGAAGCCUGGAGAGGCGCCAUACACUGUUCAUAGUCACACAGCUGGGAGGCAGCCGUCCAAAGUUAAUCCCAGGCUGUUCUGACUCCCCAACCGGUGUUGGGAUGGAGGAGAGUGGAGGGUGAGCUGCCUGGAAGAGGGAGAGGUCUGGGCUGGGGUGGAGAAGGAGGCUCAGCUUUAGGAGAGAGGGGGUCCAGGAUGGACAGCCAGGGAGCUGCCCUGAGGGGCUUGUCUGGAUCCUGUGGUUAAGGGGUCUGCAGAGGAGGGAUGUACCUCUCAUCUGCACCACAUGCAAAUUCCUGUAAAAAAAUAUUGCUUUGUGUAUAUUCUAUACACACACAAAUAUGUCUGUAUGCAUUAGAGAGUUGCAUUUAUCUCGCUGUGUAAUGCUGUGCUUUAUCAUAUAUCUACUAUACUGGUAUAAUAGUGCAUGUCUAUGAUUGGUGUAUAACUAAACAUACAUAUAUUGGAUGUAACAGUGUAAAAAUGUUUCAGUGAUGGGGUUUCUCCAUCCUAUGGUUUCUCCAGCCUAUGGCUGGAGAUGUUGUUCAGGGUGCGAAGGGCAGGGGGAGUCCCCAAAAACCUCAGGAGUGAAAACUACAUGAAACACCAGAAGAAUGUGGAAGCUGGUGGGCAGCAUAAAUUCUGCCAGAUCCUGGGGCCAGUCUAUUGAAUCACAGAGGAGUGAAGCUGCCAAUAAGAGGCUGAGACCUGGAACUGGAUCCAUUCCCUGGUCAGGGAGGCCUGGGGGGACGCCGAGGCCAGCAGGCAGAAACUGGAAUCGCACCAGUACAGCAAAGCGGACGCAGCCCCUGAUGUGACUAUAGGGUAUCCUGGCGCAGGCCAGGCCAGUGGGGUUUAGGGUGUCAGCAUAGAGCAGGGUUCUGGCCAUGGGGUGGUGCCUGAGGCAGGAGAGUUGGCAGGAACAAGGCAGGUCCCAGUGUUCAAUACGCUGAGAAACUUGGCAGCAUCAAGAUAGGAACUAAGAUGGCAAUUCAGGGAUCAAUGGUGGUAUAGUCAAGGCGGUGUUGCCUAAUGGUUAUGAGCAUAGGCUUCAAUGUGAGACAAAUCUGGGUUUAAACCCCCACUCAGCCACUUCAAAGCCGUGUGAACUUGUGUGAAUUUCCCAGCCUCCCCUAGCCUCACUUUCCUCACAGGCGAAAAGGAUAAUGAUACUUAUCCACAAGGUAGUUAGUUACAAGGAUGAAAUGAAAUGUGCUAUGUGUGUGUUUGGCACUGUAUGACCUAUGACAACUGCUAUUAUUGUUUUAGAAAUAUUAUUUAUUCUGGUGGGUCUUGGGAAUAAGGCAGCUUCCUGGAAAUCAUACCUGGGGCAAAGGCCAGAGCCAGGCCCAUCACAUGGGUGACCAGUCGCCCAGCCCUUCAGUCCCUACUGCCUCUGGUAGGGCUGGGGAGAAAGGAGGAUUGUAGAUAUGAGGAAUUAGGCCAGGUAGAACAGCAGCUCCCCAAAACCUAAGCAUAAGUUGUGAGGAGGUUAUUGUCCUCUAAUGACAGCAAUUACAGGGCCUGCUGGAAGUUUCUCACCCAGCCACCUCCUCCCCUCUCUCAGGGUCUCUGCCCGAGCCGUUCCCUCUGUCCAGCCUGCUCCUUCCACAAUCUUUGCCAGGUUGGCUCCUUUUUGCCACUGAUAAAUUUUGACUGUCAUUUUCCCAGAGAAGCCCUUCCUGACUACUCCAUCUAAAGCUGCCCCCAGUUAUAGAGCCCUCCACCCAGCUACAAUGGGAUACUCAUUUUUUUCAAAUGUAAAUGGAUCAUUCACUACCGUAGGCCAUAUGCUGGUCAUAAAUCAUGUCUCAAUAAGUUAAAAGGAUUGAAAUUAUGCAGAGUAUAUUCUUUGACCACAACAAAGUGAAAAAUCAUUAACCAAGAAAAAUCUAGGAAAUCUCCAAGAUUUGGGAAUUAAAUAAUACUUUCCUGAACAAGCCAUGGGUCAAACAAGUCAUAAGAGAAAUUAGAAAAUAUUUUCAAGUGAAUUAUAAUGAAAAUACAACAUAACAAAAUUUGUGGGGUUCAGCUAAAGCAAUGCUUUAGGGCGAAAGUGUUAGCUUUAAAUGCCUACAUUUAGAAAUAAGAAAGGUCUAAAGUGAAUGAUCUGUGCAUCCUCCUUAAGAAGCAAAACAUACAAAUAAAUAUAAGGAAAAGUGAAGAAUGGGAGAGACAGUGAAAAUUGAUGAAAUAUAAAAUGGAUAGCAAUAGAUAAAAUUAAUAAAACCAAAGCCUGGUUCUUCGAAAGGCUCAAUAAAACAGAUAAACCUGUAGCUCAGCAAAUCAAGCAAAAAUGAAAACACAAAUUGACAACAUGAAGAAUGAAAGAGGAAACAUCACAAACACUCCACAGGCAUCAA